rnacentral:rRNA from 1 species
UACGGAGGGGGCAAGCGUUGUUCGGAAUUAUUGGGCGUAAAGGGCGCGUAGGCGGCCGACCAAGUCGGGUGUGAAAUCCCUCGGCUCAACCGAGGAACUGCACUCGAUACUGGCCGGCUUGAGUCCGGGAGGGGAUGGUGGAAUUCCCAGUGUAGCGGUGAAAUGCGUAGAUAUUGGGAAGAACACCGGUGGCGAAGGCGACCAUCUGGACCGGAACUGACGCUGAGGCGCGAAAGCCAGGGGAGCGAAUGGG